CUAAUUUUCGAGUCUUGGACAGGAGGGGGAGACAGGAAUUGGGGAGUGUCUGCCUCUCUUAGGGGCACUGACCAGCCCUUGGUGUCUUUUGGCCUUUUAGCUGAUUUUUCAAUUUGUCAGCCCCAGAGAGGAUUUAUAAUUAGGAAGGAGCAAAGGGAAUUUGAACGCAGGUUGCCUUUGCCGCGGACUAAGGAUUCUCAUUCUCUCAAUGAGAAUCCUUAGUGUCAAGCAGUGAGGUUACCGAGAAUGAAACUUAUCCCUCCUGCCUUCAAAGUAGCAUCCUAUCCCAAGGGACGCUAGGUUGCCUGGAGUUCCUAACCAUCUCGGAGUGAACACCAUUACCUAGUCCGUUUCCGACACUCCCCUCCCCCACGUUAAAAAAGGAAAGGCGGGCGGGCGGCGGGGGGAGAAAAAGGGAUACUCUUUCCUCUUCCAACUCAGAUUUGGUGGCCCACAUGUUGGAGAGUGGUGUUUUCCUGCCGAUCUUCCGCUCCACAAACUCCCAAGCCUACUGACACGUUGCACUCACUGCUUCCGUGUACGGCCGGCACAGUUGCUACACUUAGCAGUUUCACAGAUACGGGCUGUGUUAGACCCUGUGUGCUGUGUAUUUUGGCAAGGAAAUGUAGGCGGGCUUAAAAAUCACACCCAGAUCUCUGAAUAGUGGAAUCCUUGUCCUGUGUGGAUGGGCAUUGGUGGAAAUGACUGGAAAUAGCAUUAGCCUUUCCUGUCCCACCACCCUUCCUCCUACCCUUAGACAAGCAUGUCCCACUUUUCAUAAAUGUUCAUUGAAUUUCUGUAGUUCAUUGUCUGCUUGACUUCGUUUGGCAGUUUUCAUGCUUAUUGACAGCAUGCUUAUUUCAUUGCUUAUUUCAUGCUUAUUUACACACCAGCCACACAGGGACAGAUAAGGACGGAAGUGAGCACACAAUGUUCAUGACAGAUGAACACUCAGGAGGCUAUUUGAAGUUAUUUGUACCUUUUUGUUCAAACAUGAUGAAAGUGAAUGAAAUGCUCUCUCAGGAGAACAGCGGUUCCUUCUGCCCUCUGCCCUCAAUACCUCCAUUUAGAGGUAGCUCCAGAAAACAUUUUAAAAGAAUUUUUUGAACAAAGACAGUAGAGAUUAAAACUUUUUCUUUUAUGUUCUUUCCUUCUCUGUUCAACUUAGUCCACAAUGUGGAGGCUGUAUAGCUGUGAGAGUAAAGCUGUUGGGCUGGUUAUCCUGCUGAAGAUACCAGUUUCUCCUUUGACAUAGUUUCUCUGUGAGCUUUUGGGAAAUUUGUGAAGGCUAGUAUUCAGGUUCUGUCCAAUCAGUUCCCUUGUCCCUGAAGCUUGCUGGUUAUUAAGAGUGUUAGAGAGUAUCUUUGAGGUGAUCUCGGGUGUGCGUUUCACUAGCUUCACUUGCAGACUUUGUAGCUUACAGUGUUAGGUCUCUGAUUUGCUGAGUUAACGUUAAGGUGAAGUUACAGGUAAUGUGUGAUCCUCCACGUUGAGAUCUGCAGAGACUAGGUUUGGUCAAAUUCCUUUUUCUCUUACAUUCUUGGGCUGCUCAGUGGGAAGGAGGGUUGUGGACUGCUGAAUCAUUUCCCCGUCCCCCCAGUGACAGGUGUGAGAUGCAUUCUUGUUCCCUCAGAUUCUACUUAGUGAAGUUUUGGGGGUUAUUGCAUGUUAGAAAUAUUGUUUCCCAUUUUCACUAGUCCCUAUGCCAUUAAUCUAGAGUUUGUUUAAUUAUAAAAGAGGAGACUAUUAAGAGCUGAGAGGGAACUUUAAAUCCUUUUAAGCCAAGAUGUUUCUUUUACAGCUGAAAGUAUUGAGACCUGAGGUCAGGUGACUCACCCUAGGUCAAGUUAGCUAGCUCAGGGAAGAGGAAGGACUGGGAACCCAGACUUCCGUUAUAUCAUACCAGUUGCAACAUCCAUACAUUCUUGGCAAUAAAUCCAUUCUUGGCAAUAAAUCAUUAAAAAUGAAUAACCAUUAUAAAGAAAGGCUCUCUGUAAUAAAGACGUUUUCCAUACCCUGAUUUUUAUAGCCCAAAAGAAGCUGAGCAGAUUCAGCUAAUAUUAGACAACUGUGUACUCAUGUGAUUUUUUUUUUUUUGAGAGAGAUAUCCAAGUGUAAAAGUUACUGUUUCUAAAAAAAAAAAGUUAAAUGUUUGGGAUUUGUUAUACAGGCCCUCAGGAUAAGUUCUUGAUACUUCAAUUGACCUUCCCACCUGUAAAUCUUCUUCAGUAAAAACAAACUUCCGAAUAGUACCAAAUAACAGUUUGACUCCAUUAGUUAAAAUAACAAAAAUCUGGGACCCAGGAGAGGAAUGGUGGCUGAAAGUGUUCUGGCCUCUUGUGCUCUACAGAAUGAUCUAAAGCAUCUCUUUUUGCUUGUUCCUCGUAGUCAGAAGUUUCAUUUUUGGGUCUGUACACUGGAAUUCAUAUACAUUUUUAAUGCACUCACAUUGACUGAGAAAUUUUCAGUUGAACAGUUUUCUGUUCUCUUCAGCAGGAAGUUGUGAUUGUUUUCAACUUGUUAAGAGGUUCUCCUCAUCUUUACCUGGAUCAAUACCUUAAUGACCUCACUCUGUUUUGAAGUGUAGGACUUCUACACUUAAAGUAUCACAUCUUUGCUGUGACCUCCCUUUAAAAGCAAUGUAUAUAACCAAUGGCCAUCUCAAGAUCUGAACCUGGUUAUGUUCAUGACUUGGAAGAUAUAAUCAUGACCUUGGAGAGAGGCCAAAUAUCGUUCCACAGCAUAGUUUCAACUCUCACCUCUGUGCAAAUAUUUACCAGCUUUUAAUUUCAGCCCUGCCAGCUUCUAGUUCCUCAUUCACACAGUGGACGAUCCAUUAGCAGCUGUCUCAAAGGGGCUUUAGGUUUCUCCAAAUUAGAAUUGAUUCCUCCUUCCCCUUUAAAUGGUACGUUGUCAGUGGACCUGGAAUAGCCUCACCAGGUUCUUUCAUGGAUUAGAGUUAUUUAGAUCUGCAUCUAAUAAAAAAACCAGUACACAUUGUUUUUAGGAUUUAAAACAUUCAAAGUGAAGGAUCAUUCCACUGAAUUGUGCCCAUUAGUUAAUAGUUAUGAUGUUUAUCUAUAUAUGUGUGUGUGUCUGGAGUGUGGGAAGAGUUAGUUUCUUAAAAGAUUCAGUUGUUGGCUAACUAAAGUAAGCUUUAGCUGCCCAAAAGAAACGUGCAGUCCAAGUCAUUUCAUGUGCUUGCUAUGGAGAUGCAUCUUUGGAUACGUUGCCUAGCUAUCGCUUGCAAAUAUAUGGUUAACUCUGUGUGUGUGUGUUAGUUACUCAGUCGUGUGACUCUUUACGACUCUGUGGACUGUAGCCCGCCAGGCUCCUCUGUCUAUGGAAUUCUCCAGGCAAGAAUACUGGAGUGGGUUGCCAUUCCCUUCUCCGGGGAUCUUCCUGACCUAGGGAUCAAACCUGGAACUCCCACAUUGCAGGCAGAUUCUUUACCGUCUGAGCUACCAGAGAAGCCCAUACUGCUAACUCUAACCCAUCAUAUACAGAAAAUCAGGGUCACCACUGAGGACAGAAGCACAGUUGAGAAGAAUAGAUCUCAAAAAAAGGAAGGAAAAGAAAAAUGAUAUGAGUUUUUAAAAAAGCAAACAAACAGGAUAUUAAAAAUUCCUGGAAGGUAUUUACUUCCAAAAUGAACCCGAUUCCUUGACUUUCAAAUCUGCUCCUGAAUCACCUUUCCUCAGCUUUGAUGAAAUAUUAUUCCAAAGUGUGAGUGGCUGAGACAGAUUCACUCACAAGUAUGGUGAAAAAAAAAAUGUACUUCUUUUUUGAACCUCUUUCACUGCACUGAAGUGUAAUACCUCUUUACAUGCCUUCUCCCUUUGCUCCUUUUUUCUCAGAUCAUAGCAAAAUGAUUUGUGUGAAUGCCAGGUAUCUAAAAUAAUGUAUCACAGUGUUGAAGGA